rnacentral:misc_RNA from 1 species
GCUCUUUUAAUUUAUUGGAUAAUUUAUGGAGAAAAUACAAUCAGUUCCUUAUCGUUACCACGGAUACGGUAACUGGUUCGAAACAUUGUAUUACAGAUUCCUGUAAAAUCUUCGUUGAUCGCUAUCUACUUUAUUUCUAGUAGGUAAUAGAAAUUUACUUUACCUACAAUCGGUGUCUGGUACUGAUUGAAGGUACUCGCUAAUGCUAAAAGUCAUUUCAGUUAACACAUUUCGGAACGUUCGGUCUGCAGACGGGUUCGACGAUGGUUACGUUUUGCCCGCACGGUGGACAAGGUGGACAAGGUGCACAAGGAGCAGGUGGACAAGCUGGAGGACAACAUGGAUCACAGGGUUGAGUGCACGGAGGACAACAGGAACAGCUUGGUGGAGGACAUAUCUUCACAUCGCAUGCAGCACGGCACGGUGGAUAACAUGGUUGACAGGGUUGAAGGCACACGGGUUUGCAAUCCACCUCGCAGACGUAUUGCAUCUCGAAGGGCAGGUCGUUUCGUACGGUGAGACAUUUGCCUUGGAUUAAGUAGCAGUAGGCCAGAGCCAGGACGGGGUUACCGCUGUAGGGUAGGUGGUGAGGAUCGGGCACAUGUGCGAAUAUGUCGAUGUGCGUGUAUUUUAAGGGAGAACAGCUACAGGCUCCGUGCUGCAAUCGAUACGAGGGGGUGAGAACGAGUGGUCGAACGAGGCGGGCCGAAGGGAGAUAGGCCGGCUAAAUGAGGCUUUAAACGUCAUUGUAAUGGAAAAGCUUUUUAAUCUGCCAUUAAUGCCUCCUCGCGGUACUUAUGUUAAGCUGAUCGCCCAUAAAAAAUUCAUUCCGCCAUCCUAAAGAGGGAAAAGCGUGAGAUAUGUAGGUGUGUAUAAAAUUGCUUGCCGACGGAUAUUGGUUUAAAAACGAUGUUAACACGAUACCUCUUCAAAUACCGUGUUAUAGGACUGCGGUAACUUAUUGAAUAAUACUAGUUAAAUAUAACCGUCGCGUGAUGAAAUGAGAUUAAUUUCGUAGAAUGGUAAGUUUAAUCGGUCAUGGAUUAGCACGAGACUGAUUAUCUGAGUCAAGUGAAAGAAGAUCAGGCUUGGCGGUUAUUUAUCCCCUCGUUUAAGCCUCCGAUUAUCGUAGUUAUUACCUGUACCUACUAUACAGAUUGCAGUUUCUUUCUUAGCCAAACGCUGCCAGUAUAUUCUAUAGAUCAACGUAAG